UUGCCUGCCUGCUUGCAUCUCUCCCAAGCAUCCUAACCUAAGAAAUCUAUUUCUUGCCUAUCACUUUGUUUCUCGCUGAAUUCCUUCUGCACAGAGGCAUGAAGAACCUGAACCUCCAUGAGUCCAGACCCAGGGCCGAGGUUCCCUCUGAUCCAUUUUGAGUGCAAGAAGUUUGUCAUUUAAAUGUUUUCAAACUGUGUGGAAUGAGGCCCUAACAAACUGAAGCAGAAGAUACCACCUCUGCAUCCGAGCAUCUGCGUGUCGCUGCAUCUCUUCCUCUGACACCUUUUAAAAAAUUACAUCAAUUAUGUUCAAAUGACACAAAGGAAAAAAAAUAGUCAUUGUCUCUACCAUA